UUGGAGGGCAAGUCUGGUGCCAGCAGCCGCGGUAAUUCCAGCUCCAAUAGCGUAUAUUAAAGUUGUUGCAGUUAAAAAGCUCGUAGUUGAAUUUCGGGAUUAGUACGCUGGUCGUGCCUUCGGUACGUACUGGUGUUACUGAUUUCUACCUUCUGACGAACCAUCAUGUCAUUAAUUUGGUGUGGUGGGGAAUCAGGACUGUUACUUUGAAAAAAUUAGAGUGUUUAAAGCAGGCUCGCGCUUGAAUACAUUAGCAUGGAAUAAUGAAAUAGGACGUUGAUCCUAUUUUGUUGGUUUCUAGGAUUGACGUAAUGAUUAGUAGGGAUAGUUGGGGGCAUUAGUAUUCAAUUGUCAGAGGUGAAAUUCUUGGAUUUAUUGAAGACUAACUACUGCGAAAGCAUUUGCCAAGGAUGUUUUCAUUAAUCAAGAACGAAAGUUAGGGGAUCGAAGACGAUCAGAUACCGUCGUAGUCUUAACCAUAAACUAUGCCGACUAGGGAUCGGAUGAUGUUAUUUUUAAUGACUCAUUCGGCGCCUUACGGGAAAC
rnacentral:rRNA from 1 species